CAGUCGCCACGGUAAUACAGAGGGUGCAAGCGUUAAUCGGAAUUACUGGGCGUAAAGCGCGCGUAGGUGGUUUGUUAAGUUGGAUGUGAAAGCCCCGGGCUCAACCUGGGAACUGCAUCCAAAACUGGCAAGCUAGAGUACGGUAGAGGGUGGUGGAAUUUCCUGUGUAGCGGUGAAAUGCGUAGAUAUAGGAAGGAACACCAGUGGCGAAGGCGACCACCUGGACUGAUACUGACACUGAGGCACGAAAGCGUGGGGAUCAAACAGGAUUAGAUACCCCAGUAGUCCCUGUCUCUUAUAC
rnacentral:rRNA from 1 species